GGCUGUGCAUUCUACUUGCUUUUUCUUUGCUCUCACUUCUAGCAUUAUUACCACUACCCUGGGUUUGAUGUUUAUUAUUCUCUUAGAUGUCAAAGUCAUUGAUUUAAAAAAAAAAAAAAUCUUUCGUGAUUGACCAAUACAGUCCCCAGAUUUAUGCUGCUUGAACUUCUCGACUUGACUGGCACGUAUUGACAAAUAUGAUAUCACAUGACAUUAUUUGGGGUUGUUUCUGAAGCUCUCCUAGUGUUUACUCAAUUAUUAACGGACACAUGUGUAAAGUUGGAAAGAAUGUGGACAUGUCAAGUCAGGCUCAGGGAGAACCACAGCUGACAGUUACAUGGGAUAAGCAGGUUUUGGUAUCAAAGCCCUGGAGUGUUCAGCCCUGCACGGGUCCCCCAGCCGUGACUGGUCAUGGAAGUCAGCAGGCCCAGGCUGCUGUGUGCGUGAAGGCAGUGCGCCUGUGGGAUGAUGUGAGCUACCCUGAGGUUCUCAAGGCCCAUGUUCGAGUGUGGCGGACAGCUGUGGAGGUCAGUGCCCACGUCAUUGCUUGGUGUGGAUUUAGGUACAUGCAUUUCUUUAUUGCCAGGGUCAAAGAUCAUGCUCUUUGCACAAAAGUACACAAAGAAACACAAGCACUUUCUUCUCCCUUGAGAAGGCAGGAUGCUGAUGGAGGGGACCCUUGGGAGGCCAGAACAGGUCUCUGCCAGCCGCCUCCACUCACACCAGCCUUGUAGGGGGAGAGGGACCCGAUGGUGGAUCUGGUCUCCUAUACUCACUGCAUCUCCCAUGCCUACACCAAGGACCAAACACCAUUUAUUGGUACUGAAUAAAUCUCCUUUCUGGGGGUCA
rnacentral:lncRNA from 1 species